CUGAAAUACACUUUUGAGGGGAGCAGCAGCCUCCAGCUUUCAAGUCACCUUUAGCCUUGAACCUUCCCUGCUAAGACUCCUGGCAUUUGUGGAGCAGAGGCAAGCCACAUCCUCCAUGCCAUGAUCUUGAGGACAAAGUCCCUUAAGGAAGCAAAACCCAAGGAAAGAACCAGGAAACAUGACUCAAUAGUCUUUUGACCAUGACUCAAUCAAGGACAGCAACUGAAAGAAAAUAAUGAACCUCACCUAGAAGGCCAGAAAUUGUACAGAAUCAACCUGUCCUGUCUGUACUUUCUUCUAGACCUGGUGAUCAUCACUGAAAAGUGGUUGAUGAAACAACUAAAAAUGAAAGGAACAUGAAACCAGAU